rnacentral:rRNA from 1 species
CGGUAACAGAACUAGCUUGCUAGUUGCUGACGAGUGGCGGACGGGUGAGUAACGCGUAGGAAUCUACCGAGUAGUGGGGGACAACAGUUGGAAACGACUGCUAAUACCGCAUAAUCCCUGAGGGGGAAAGGAGGGGAUCUGUUUACAGACCUUUCGCUAUUUGAUGAGCCUGCGUGAGAUUAGCUAGUUGGUGAGGUAAUGGCUCACCAAGGCGACGAUCUCUAGCUGGUCUGAGAGGAUGAUCAGCCACACUGGAACUGAGACACGGUCCAGACUCCUACGGGAGGCAGCAGUGGGGAAUAUUGCACAAUGGGGGAAACCCUGAUGCAGCCAUGCCGCGUGUGUGAAGAAGGCCUUCGGGUUGUAAAGCACUUUCAGCGAGGAGGAAAGGAGUAGGUUUAAUAAACCUGCUUUGUGACGUUACUCGCAGAAGAAGCAC